rnacentral:rRNA from 1 species
CCCUUAGAUGUUCUGGGCCGCACGCGCGCUACACUGAUGCAUUCAACGAGCCUAUCCUUGACCGACAGGUCCGGGUAAUCUUUGAAUCUGCAUCGUGACGGGGAUAGAUUAUUGCAAUUAUUAAUCUUCAACGAGGAAUGCCUAGUAGGCGCAAGUCAUCGGCUUGCGUCGAAUACGUCCCUGCCCUUUGUACACACCGCCCGUCGCUCCUACCGAUCGAAGAGUUAGGUGAAUUGUUUUGAUCGAUAAGAUUUGACUAUGGUCAACUCUCGUUGGGAAAUUCUGUGAAUCUGACUGUUUAGAGGAAGGAAAAGUCGUAACA